CCUACGGGUGGCAGCAGUGAGGAAUAUUGGUCAAUGGUCGGGAGACUGAACCAGCCAAGCCGCGUGAGGGAUGAAGGUACAGAGUAUCGUAAACCUCUUUUGUCAGGGAACAAAGGCGGGGACGUGUCCCCGGAUGAGUGUACCUGAAGAAAAAGCACCGGCUAACUCCGUGCCAGCAGCCGCGGUAAUACGGAGGGUGCAAGCGUUGUCCGGAAUCAUUGGGCGUAAAGAGUUCGUAGGCGGUAUGUUAAGUCUGGUGUUAAAUGCAGAAGCUCAACUUCUGUUCGGCACUGGAUACUGGCAAACUAGAAUGCGGUAGAGGUAAAGGGAAUUCCUGGUGUAGCGGUGAAAUGCUUAGAUAUCAGGAGGAACAUCGGUGGCGUAAGCGCUUUACUGGGCCGUAAUUGACGCUGAGGAACGAAAGCCAGGGUAGCAAAUGGGAUUAGAUACCCGAGUAGUC
rnacentral:rRNA from 1 species